rnacentral:rRNA from 1 species
UGGGGAAUAUUGCACAAUGGAGGGAACUCUGAUGCAGCGACGCCGCGUGAGUGAUGAAGGAAUUCGUUUCGUAAAACUCUGUUCUAUGGGAAGAAAAGGACUGUACCAUAGGAGAAAGCUCCGGCUAAAUACGUGCCAGCAGCCGCGGUAAUACGUAUGGAGCGAGCGUUGUCCGGAAUUAUUGGGCGUAAAGGGUGCGCAGGCGGCUUUACAAGUUGGAUGUGAAAUAUUGUGGCUCAACCACAAACGUGCAUCCAAAACUGCCAAGCUUGAGUUAAGGAGAGGUAAGUGGAAUUCCUGGUGUAGCGGUGGAAUGCGUAGAUAUCAGGAGGAAUACCGGUGGCGAAGGCGACUUACUGGACUUAAACUGACGCUCAGGCACGAAAGCGUGGGGAGCAAACAGG